ensembl:lncRNA
UUCUUCUUCUUCUUCUUCUUCUUCUUCUUCUUCUUCUUCUUCUUCUUCUUCUUCUUCUUCUUCUUCUUCUUCUUCUUCUUCUUCUUCUUCUUCUUCUUCUUGUUCUUCUUCUUCUUCUUCUCUCGCAUAAACACUCUCACGACACUUCCCAUUUAUCUGGUGACCCUUUUUAGGGGCCUCACCCCCCAGGUUGGGAACCGCUGGAUUGUAUUUGUUGACUGUGUACAAACUUCAAUGAUGAAUAUUAAUAUUAUAUGAUCUCACUUUGAACAUUUAAGCACAUUUUGCUACAUCACUUAUUACCACGUUCAUCUAAGCAGGUUCAUGGAGUAUUUUUACAUUCUGACUUCAGUCAAUGAUCUGAAUUCUCCACCAAUCACAAACGCCGCCUCCUUUCGUGGUUGUGGUUAAACGCGUGAGCUGGUAUCCACGCGCCACGAGAGGAUCCUUUCUGACUGAUCUAUUUCGGGUCCUUCGGCCUGAAGCGGAGCAGCUGCACUUAUUAUGUGCAAUGCAACGCGGAUCCAACAGGCCGGCGCGGCGCGUGCGAUUAGGGCCCGUAAUCAUUACGAAAUGCUAUUAUUCAGCAAACGCGCCGCCCGGAGUCGACCUCGCGGCAUCCCGUCCCUCACACGUGUUACAGGAAGUGUCUCGUCCAGGUGAUGGCCGCCAGAGGACCACUUCCUGCCCCCCCCCACCCAAAAAACAACAAGGUUCAGCUGAAAUGAAGUGCUGUUGUUGCCCCGUUGGAAUGCCUGUGUUGUGUCUUUGUUAUUGUUUAUUCAGUUGUUCCACAUGGUUCCACCAUGAAAUCAGCAGCAUCAGAUUGAGACUGAAAAGCUGUGUGUGUGUGUGUGUGUGUGUGCGUGUGUGUGUGUGUGUGUGUGCGUGCACACUCUGGGAUCCAGCUGCGUUGCACACUGCAGAUGUUCUCAGAUGAACCAGUUUGUUAAUUCAACUUCGACUCUCUCGUACACAUUUACAUAACGUCAGAACGCCUUUAUAUAUAUAUAUAUAUAUAUGGGGAGGGAGGGGCUUAAGUUUAUUGGAAUUUAGAACCAUGACCUUCUGUACAAAAUAUGGUGCAACCUGAACUGAAGAGUGAAGUUGAGGCUUCAUGAGUGAAAGCUGCGUUCUCUGCAGUGACCAGCAGGGGGCGACUCCUCUGGUCACAGAGAAUCAGACGGAAGACACGGAGGCAAAGCUAAUGACAGAUGACGGACAAAUGCCAAAUUCAUGACCAGGCAUGCAGCGAGCUUAAGGUCAUGACGUGCAGUGUGUGUGAGUGUGUGUGUGUGUGUGUGUGUGUGUGUAGGUGGCAUGUGCCCUGCAUGCACACACACAUGUCUGCUCAGUAAUGUCAUUAAUAACCCUGGGUAUGAAGGCCUUCAGAGGAAUUGUCCAGAUGAUGCUUGAACGCCGUAUAUACGCGAAUGCCUGGAAGUGUGUGUGUGUGUUUGUGUGCGAGUGUGUGCGCGCUCUGCCGGGAUGGCACAACCCAUCAGCUUGUAUCCCUGGUGGUGGCAGAGCGGUUUUGGCAAAAGGUUCAGUCUCCUGAGUCUGGAAAACCAAGUGAGUGAGUGAGUAAGUAAAAGGAUUAGUGAUUGGGUGAGUGAAGGAGUGAGAGAGUAAGAGAAUGAGUGAGUAAGUAAAGGAGUUAGUGAUUGGGUGAGUGAAGGAGUGAGAGAGUAAGAGAAUGAGUGAGUAAGUAAAGGAGUUAGUGAUUGGGUGAGUGAAGGAGUGAGAGAGUAAGAGAAUGAGUGAGUAAGUAAAGGAGUUAGUGAUUGGGUGAGUGAGAGAGUGAGUAAGAGAAUGAGUGAGUAAGUGAAGGAGUUAGUGAUUGGGUGAGUGAAGGAGUGAGAGAGCGAGUAAGAGGAUGAGUGAGAUAAGUAAAGGAGUUAGUGAUUGGGUGAGUGAAGGAGUGAGAGAGUAAGAGAAUGAGUGAGAGAGUAAAGGAGUUAGUGAUUGGGUGAGUGAAGGAGUGAGAGAGUUAGUAAGAGAAUGAGUGAGUAAAGGAGUUAGUGAUUGGGUGAGUGAAGGAGUGAGAGAGAGAGUAAGAGAAUGAGUGAGUAAAGGAGUUAGUGAUUGGGUGAGUGAAGGAGAGAGUAGGAGAAUGGGUGAGUGAUCUUUUGUGCUUUGUAUUUCUAUGUGAGAAAUGAUCUGCAGAGAACGAGAUCAUUUUGUGUCGUUAGCAGAGCAGCUGGUGGAUCGAUGGAAUGAAUCCAGGACAUCGUUAGAACCCAGAAGCCGACUUUGAUGUAUUUGUUACAUGAAUUGGUGUGUAAGUUCUGCCUAAAGACACAAAAUAAGUGAUCAGUAUUCUGCAGACAUCUGGUGCUCAUCAGCUCAUUUAAUCUACAUAUGUCCUUCAUUCAUUAAUAAUAGAAUAUGAAUUAUAUUUCUUAUUUGUAUAAUUUCUGGGGCUUAAUUGUUAGAUCUUUUUUCAACUCAUUUAACCAUUUAAAUUGUUUCAACAUCUUACAUAAAAGUCUUCUGUAUUUUUAAAAAUGUUUAUUCAUUUGUUAUAUUUUAUUAUUUUGCAGAGUCAACUUGCACCUUUGUCUUGUUUGUUCCACAUUCAAUAACUGAAGCCUUCUAUCAAAUAUCUCAUUCAAAAUACAUUUAUCUUAAUUCGGACUUUAAAUAAAACCCAUUCGAACACCCAACGUUUAAGAUGCAGAUGAGGAUGCACGAGCUUACUGCAGGUCUCGGGCUGAAAGGUGGAGAUGCUGCCAGGUGACCGUUGGGACAGCGAGACGACACCUGGUGGACGGAUGAGGAAGGACAUAAUAUAUAUACCUAUAUAAUUUAUGUACAUGAAGGUAUUGUGCUCUUAAACAAACCUCUGCACUAUUGAUCGCGCGGAGAGGAACGUCAUUGUGACGUCACAGCUGAACGCGGUUCUCCGGUCAGCUCCGUUCUACCUCGUCCCAUGAGGCAAACUGGAUUAGGAUAAACUAAUACUGAUUCCCGUUCAGUGCUUAAAGGUCUCCGCAUGACGUUUAAUGCAAUUAUGGCACAAAGACAAACCCCCCCGAACAUAAUUGAGUUUUACUACAAAGAAGAAAAGAGGCUUUUAAUGUGGAUUGCACGUUGCAUUUAGCGCCAAUAAGAAGCUUUGUUUGUUAAAGGGUGAGUUCACUCAAAUUAUGAACACAUGUGUAUCUAUAUGUGUAUCUAUUGCCUCGGUAUUAUUCAGCCAUGUGCAGUGUUUUUAUUUUAGUUGUUCUUUGAACUAUUCUUAUUCCCACAUUUCCCAGUAUUUGUACUUCAUUGAUGCUUUAAAACGUUUCUCUUCUGCAGGAUU